rnacentral:rRNA from 1 species
AGAUGGGAGCUUGCUCCCUGAUGUUAGCGGCGGACGGGUGAGUAACACGUGGGUAACCUGCCUGUAAGACUGGGAUAACUCCGGGAAACCGGGGCUAAUACCGGAUGGUUGUUUGAACCGCAUGGUUCAGACAUAAAAGGUGGCUUCGGCUACCACUUACAGAUGGACCCGCGGCGCAUUAGCUAGUUGGUGAGGUAACGGCUCACCAAGGCGACGAUGCGUAGCCGACCUGAGAGGGUGAUCGGCCACACUGGGACUGAGACACGGCCCAGACUCCUACGGGAGGCAGCAGUAGGGAAUCUUCCGCAAUGGACGAAAGUCUGACGGAGCAACGCCGCGUGAGUGAUGAAGGUUUUCGGAUCGUAAAGCUCUGUUGUUAGGGAAGAACAAGUGCCGUUCAAAUAGGGCGGCACCUUGACGGUACCUAACCAGAAAGCCACGGCUAACUACGUGCCAGCAGCCGCGGUAAUACGUAGGUGGCAAGCGUUGUCCGGAAUUAUUGGGCGUAAAGGGCUCGCAGGCGGUUUCUUAAGUCUGAUGUGAAAGCCCCCGGCUCAACCGGGGAGGGUCAUUGGAAACUGGGGAACUUGAGUGCAGAAGAGGAGAGUGGAAUUCCACGUGUAGCGGUGAAAUGCGUAGAGAUGUGGAGGAACACCAGUGGCGAAGGCGACUCUCUGGUCUGUAACUGACG